rnacentral:sRNA from 1 species
GCGAGGAGGGCGCAUAUGAAUCGAAGAUUCAUAUUUAGGAUGCGCCCGACAACCUACCACAGAGCGGAUGCGAUGUGGUGAUACCCGAG